rnacentral:lncRNA from 1 species
GCGAUUUCUACCUUGUCCAAUGAUAUGAUAUUACUUGAGAAAUUUCAUGGAAAAAUGACCAUUCAUCAUUAUUGAAGUCAGCAAAUGCAUGAGGUGAAUGGAAGCUAACUUUGACAUUUCAACUUCUAAUUAAUGACUAAAGAUUAAGACAGGCUUUUAGAAUAUAUGUUUUUAGUGCGAGAGAAAUAUCCUUGUGCUGUGUUUCCCACUUUUAUUUUGUGUCGGUUAUGUUAAAUGCUAUGGUCCCC